UGGGGAAUUUUCCACAAUGGGCGAAAGCCUGAUGGAGCAACGCCGCGUGUGUGAUGAAGGUCUUCGGAUCGUAAAGCACUUUCGACCGGGACGAAACGGCUUCAGCUAAUACCUGAAGUCCUGACGGUACCGGGAGAAGAAGCACCGGCUAACUCUGUGCCAGCAGCCGCGGUAAUACAGAGGGUGCAAGCGUUGUUCGGAAUUAUUGGGCGUAAAGCGCGUGUAGGCUGCUCAGCCAGUCAGAUGUGAAAGCCCUCGGCUCAACCGAGGAAGUGCGUCUGAAACUACUGAGCUCGAGUACUGGAGAGGGUAGCGGAAUUCCGCAAGUAGAGGUGAAAUUCGUAGAGAUGCGGAGGAACACCGGUGGCGAAGGCAAUCUCCUGGGCCUGCACUGACGCUCAUGCACGAAAGCGUGGGGAGCAAACA
rnacentral:rRNA from 1 species